AUUUAUUUGUUUGUUUGUUUGUUUAUUUUUGUUUGUGUUUGUCCUUGGUUCUUGAAGAGGACUGUGACAUCAGGGAGAGGAUGACAUGACUUGCAAUUGACUUUGAUUUGAGUGAGGGAGGGCUGUGCAAGGUCACCAGCCUUACUUUCUCCUCCAGAGCCAUCUGGGUCCAGUGGCCAAAUGUUCAUCAGGAUGACUGAGAUGACCAGGUCUUUAUUAUCACCUGGCUGGAUUAUUGCAAUAGCCUUCUAACAAGCAAUUGGGGUUAAGUGACUUGCCCAGGGUCACACAGCUAGUAAGUGUCAAGUGUUGGUCUGAGGCCAGAUUUGAACUCAGGUCCUCCUGACUUCAGGGCCUGUGCUCUACUCACUGUGCCACCUACCUGCCCCGACAGAUAAAGAAAUUGAGUCCUGCUCAUUUUACAGAUGAGGAAACUGAGACCAACAGGGAUAAAUGACUUCUCCAGGGCCACACAGCUAGCAAGUUAUCUGAGGCCAGAUUUGAACUCAGGAAGACUCAUCUUCCUGACUCCAGGCCUGGAGCUUUAUCCGCUUUGCAACCUAACUGCCCAGGAGAGUGGUCUUUGUACUAGACAUAACAGACUAUGGCUGACUGAGAUGAGUAAGAAGAUAGAGAGCACCUUGAUGAACUCAUCAUCUGCCCCAGAUGGACUCCAUUCUUGGAGUCAAUGAAGUCCAAUGGCAAGACAAAAGUCAAGAUGCCUGUCGAUGGCCUGGAACUGGUGGAUGACCUUGGCCUUUCACUGGAUUUAGGAAAUAGAUCAAGUUUCCCCUACCAAGGGAGU
rnacentral:lncRNA from 1 species